AGACCCGAAACCCGGUGAUCUAGCCAUGGGCAGGUUGAAGGUUGGGUAACACUAACUGGAGGACCGAACCGACUAAUGUUGAAAAAUUAGCGGAUGACCUGUGGCUGGGGGUGAAAGGCCAAUCAAACCGGGAGAUAGCUGGUUCUCCCCGAAAGCUAUUUAGGUAGCGCCUCGUGAAUUCAUCUCCGGGGGUAGAGCACUGUUUCGGCUAGGGGGCCAUCCCGGCUUACCAACCCGAUGCAAACUGCGAAUACCGGAGAAUGUUAUCACGGGAGACACACGGCGGGUGCUAACGUCCGUCGUGAAGAGGGAAACAACCCAGACCGCCAGCUAAGGUCCCAAAGUCAUGGUUAAGUGGGAAACGAUGUGGGAAGGCCCAGACAGCCAGGAUGUUGGCUUAGAAGCAGCCAUCAUUUAAAGAAAGCGUAAUAGCUCACUGGUCGAGUCGGCCUGCGCGGAAGAUGUAACGGGGCUAAACCAUGCACCGAAGCUGCGGCAGCGACACUGUGUGUUGUUGGGUAGGGGAGCGUUCUGUAAGCCUGUGAAGGUGUGUCGUGAGGCAUGCUGGAGGUAUCAGAAGUGCGAAUGCUGACAUAAGUAACGAUAAAGCGGGUGAAAAGCCCGCUCGCCGGAAGACCAAGGGUUCCUGUCCAACGUUAAUCGGGGCAGGGUGAGUCGACCCCUAAGGCGAGGCCGAAAGGCGUAGUCGAUGGGAAACGGGUUAAUAUUCCCGUACUUGGUGUUACUGCGAAGGGGGGACGGAGAAGGCUAUGUUGGCCGGGCGACGGUUGUCCCGGUUUAAGUGUGUAGGUGUGUGUUCCAGGUAAAUCCGGUUCACUUUAACACUGAGGCGUGACGACGAGGCACUACGGUGCUGAAGCAACAAAUGCCCUGCUUCCAGGAAAAGCCUCUAAGCAUCAGGUAACAUCAAAUCGUACCCCAAACCGACACAGGUGGUCAGGUAGAGAAUACCAAGGCGCUUGAGAGAACUCGGGUGAAGGAACUAGGCAAAAUGGUGCCGUAACUUCGGGAGAAGGCACGCUGACACGUAGGUGAAGUGAUUUACUCAUGGAGCUGAAGUCAGUCGAAGAUACCAGCUGGCUGCAACUGUUUAUUAAAAACACAGCACUGUGCAAACACGAAAGUGGACGUAUACGGUGUGACGCCUGCCCGGUGCCGGAAGGUUAAUUGAUGGGGUCAGCGCAAGCGAAGCUCCUGAUCGAAGCCCCGGUAAACGGCGGCCGUAACUAUAACGGUCCUAAGGUAGCGAAAUUCCUUGUCGGGUAAGUUCCGACCUGCACGAAUGGCGUAAUGAUGGCCAGGCUGUCUCCACCCGAGACUCAGUGAAAUUGAACUCGCUGUGAAGAUGCAGUGUACCCGCGGCAAGACGGAAAGACCCCGUGAACCUUUACUAUAGCUUGACACUGAACAUUGAGCCUUGAUGUGUAGGAUAGGUGGGAGGCUUUGAAGUGUGGACGCCAGUCUGCAUGGAGCCGACCUUGAAAUACCACCCUUUAAUGUUUGAUGUUCUAACGUGGACCCGUUACCCGGGUUGCGGACAGUGUCUGGUGGGUAGUUUGACUGGGGCGGUCUCCUCCUAAAGAGUAACGGAGGAGCACGAAGGUUGGCUAAUCCUGGUCGGACAUCAGGAGGUUAGUGCAAUGGCAUAAGCCAGCUUGACUGCGAGCGUGACGGCGCGAGCAGGUGCGAAAGCAGGUCAUAGUGAUCCGGUGGUUCUGAAUGGAAGGGCCAUCGCUCAACGGAUAAAAGGUACUCCGGGGAUAACAGGCUGAUACCGCCCAAGAGUUCAUAUCGACGGCGGUGUUUGGCACCUCGAUGUCGGCUCAUCACAUCCUGGGGCUGAAGUAGGUCCCAAGGGUAUGGCUGUUCGCCAUUUAAAGUGGUACGCGAGCUGGGUUUAGAACGUCGUGAGACAGUUCGGUCCCUAUCUGCCGUGGGCGCUGGAGAACUGAGGGGGGCUGCUCCUAGUACGAGAGGACCGGAGUGGACGCAUCACUGGUGUUCGGGUUGUCAUGCCAAUGGCACUGCCCGGUAGCUAAAUGCGGAAGAGAUAAGUGCUGAAAGCAUCUAAGCACGAAACUUGCCCCGA
rnacentral:rRNA from 3 species